rnacentral:rRNA from 1 species
CUCAAAUGAAUUGACGGGGGCCCGCACAAGCGGUGGAGCAUGUGGUUUAAUUCGAUGCAACGCGAAGAACCUUACCUGGUCUUGACAUCCACAGAACUUUCCAGAGAUGGAUUGGUGCCUUCGGGAACUGUGAGACAGGUGCUGCAUGGCUGUCGUCAGCUCGUGUUGUGAAAUGUUGGGUUAAGUCCCGCAACGAGCGCAACCCUUAUCCUUUGUUGCCAGCGGUUCGGCCGGGAACUCAAAGGAGACUGCCAGUGAUAAACUGGAGGAAGGUGGGAUGACGUCAAGUCAUCAUGGCCCUUACGACCAGGGCUACACACGUGCUACAAUGGCAUAUACAAAGAGAAGCGACCUCGCGAGAGCAAGCGGACCUCAUAAAGUAUGUCGUAGUCCGGAUUGGAGUCUGCAACUCGACUCCAUGAAGUCGGAAUCG